ACAGCAGCAGCCACGGUAAAACGUAGGGUGCAAGCGUUAAUCGGAAUUACUGGGCGUAAAGCGUGCGCAGGCGGUUAUAUAAGACAGAUGUGAAAUCCCCGGGCUCAACCUGGGAACUGCAUUUGUGACUGUAUAGCUAGAGUACGGCAGAGGGGGAUGGAAUUCCGCGUGUAGCAGUGAAAUGCGUAGAUAUGCGGAGGAACACCGAUGGCGAAGGCAAUCCCCUGGGCCUGUACUGACGCUCAUGCACGAAAGCGUGGGGAGCAAACAGGAUUAGAUACCCCCGUAGUCCCUGUCUCUUAUAC
rnacentral:rRNA from 1 species